GUCGAGCGCACUCUUCGGAGUGAGCGGCGGACGGGUUAGUAACGCGUGGGAACAUACCUUUUGGUAAGGAAUAGCCUCGGGAAACUGAGAGUAAUACCUUAUACGCCCUUCGGGGGAAAGAUUUAUCGCCGAGAGAUUGGCCCGCGUUAGAUUAGAUAGUUGGUGGGGUAAUGGCCUACCAAGUCUACGAUCUAUAGCUGGUUUUAGAGGAUGAUCAGCAACACUGGGACUGAGACACGGCCCAGACUCCUACGGGAGGCAGCAGUGGGGAAUCUUGGACAAUGGGCGCAAGCCUGAUCCAGCCAUGCCGCGUGAGUGAUGAAGGCCUUAGGGUCGUAAAGCUCUUUCGCCAGAGAUGAUAAUGACAGUAUCUGGUAAAGAAACCCCGGCUAACUCCGUGCCAGCAGCCGCGGUAAUACGGAGGGGGUUAGCGUUGUUCGGAAUUACUGGGCGUAAAGCGUACGUAGGCGGACCAUUAAGUAAGGGGUGAAAUCCCAGGGCUCAACCCUGGAACUGCCUCUUAAACUGCUGGUCUUGAGUUCGAGAGAGGUGAGUGGAAUUCCGAGUGUAGAGG
rnacentral:rRNA from 1 species